CGUCUGCUGGUAAAGUGUUGUGGGCGACUGCAGGUCGAUCGUGGCGGUCAGUGCGCCGUUGACGUAAACGCCCA
rnacentral:tRNA from 1 species